rnacentral:tRNA from 2 species
AAGGCCUUAGCUUAAUUAAAGCCCCUGUUUUGCAUACAGAUAAUGUGGGUUAAUGUCCCGCAGGUCUUA